rnacentral:lncRNA from 1 species
UGACAAAGAAUUAAUAGUUGGUAUAGGAGAUUUUAAUUUCGAAUCACAAUUGUCUUAUAUUUUCAAGAAAUAAAUAAAUACACUAUAACAGAAUUAGAUAAUAGGGACACAUGUUUAGAACACUUUUGUGUAAGUAUCCCAUUUAUAUCAAAACUUUUUAAAAAAUCUAUUAAUGCCUAAAUAUAAAGUUCAAUCCAAUCAAAAAUAAAAUGUUACUCUACUCAACCCACCCCACUCAGCCCAUUCGGCUCGAUUACAAACAAAAAAGAAAAAAAAAAAAAAAUCAAUUACCAUCUCCCCUUCUCCCCUCACUCAAUCUAUUGAAAUUCUAGAAAAAGAGCACUUUCCUCUCGUCCUCCUCCGCCACGGCAGCCAACAAGGUAGAGUUCCGGCGGUUGCUAAAUACUUAAAUAAGUAUUGGUAAAUUAGUAGUACUCGUUUUAGGUUAUAGCGACACUCUUUAACUGUCACUAUAUAUCUAGCAACCCCACAUAUAGCAACACUUUGUAAAAGUAUCGGUAAUUUAGACAGCAGUACUUUUUUUGACAUGUACUGAUAUUUAAAAGUGUUGCUAUCGACCGUUUUUUUUGUAGUGAUAAAACGAAUAGCACGUUGUCCUUCUCUCAAAAAAAAAAAAAAAAAAAAAAAAAUUGCCGUGAAGUAGUG